rnacentral:rRNA from 1 species
GCUAACAAUCUAGCCCAAUUUUAACCAAUGAUGACCUCUUAAUUUAAUUCACCAACUAAACCAUUCUUUUAGUCUAGUAAAGGGGAUUGAAAAAUUCUUAAGGCGCUAUACCUUAGUACCGCAAGGGAAAGAUGAAAUAAAAAUGAAACAAAUAUCAAGCAAAAAGAAGUAGAGACUCACUCUCGUACCUUUUGCAUCAUGGUUUAACUAGUCAAAUCAAGCAAAAAGACUUAAAGUUUGACCCCCCGAAACUAAGUGAGCUACUUCAAGGCAGCUUUAUGAGCCAACCCGUCUCUGUUGCAAAAGAGUGGGAAGACCUUCAAGUAGGGGUGACAGACCUACCGAACUUAGUGAUAGCUGGUUGCCUGGGAAAAGGAUUUUAGUCCAACCUAAAAUCACAACUUUAUAUUUUACAAAUUUGAAUUUGAUUUUAGAGCAAUUCAAGUAAGGUACAGCCUGCUUGAAACAGGAUACAACCUAAAAUUGAGGGUAACCCCGAUCCAAUUUGCAGUAAAGUGGGCCUAAAAGCAGCCACCUUUAAAACAGCGUCACAGCUUAACUGCAAGACAGAUCUAAUUUCAAAAACUCUAAUGAACCCCACUUUAGUACCAAGCAAUUCUAUAUUUCUAUAGAACCUUUUAUGUUAAAACUAGUAACAAGAAGCACCCCUUCUCUUAAAUGCAAGUAUAAAUCAGCUAGGACCCACCACUGAUAAUUAACACCCAUGAACUUACAGUAGAAACACCACAAGAAAACCCUACUUCACCCCAUGUUAAUCUAACACAAGAGCAUUACAAGAAAGAUUAAAAGAAAAAGAAGGAACUCGGCAAACAUUAACCCCGCCUGUUUACCAAAAACAUCGCCUCUUGAUAAACUUAUAAGAGGUCCAGCCUGCCCAGUGACUCUGUUCAACGGCCGCGGUAUCCUAACCGUGCGAAGGUAGCGUAAUCACUUGUUCUUUAAAUGAGGACUAGUAUGAAUGGCACCACGAAGGUUAUACUGUCUCCUUUCUCUAAUCAGUGAAACUAAUCUCCCCGUGAAGAAGCGGGGAUGAAAAUAUAAGACGAGAAGACCCUAUGGAGCUUCAAACAAAUAUACAACUGCCUAUUCCACUAAAAAUUUCAGGAAAAAAACACCUAUCCAGGCACUUUGAUAUAGAGUUUUAGGUUGGGGUGACCACGGAGUAAAAAACAACCUCCGUAAUGAAAGGGAAUUUUCCCUAAACUAAGGACUACAACCCUAAGUAUCAAUAAAUUGACACCAAUUGACCCAAAAUACAUUUGACCAAUGAACCAAGUUACCCUAGGGAUAACAGCGCAAUCCACUUCAAGAGCCCCUAUCGACAAGUGGGUUUACGACCUCGAUGUUGGAUCAGGGUAUCCUAGUGGUGC